GCGCUCAUUUCCGCAGCACCUACACUUGAAAUUGGAACGACACUGAGCAGAUUAGCAGGGCUCUUGCACAAGGAUGACGUGCAAAUUCAUGAAGCAUUCCAUACACAC
ensembl:snRNA U6 U6 spliceosomal RNA